UACGUAGGUGGCAGGCGUUGUCCGGAUUUAUUGGGUUUAAAGGGUGCGUAGGCGGUCUUCUAAGUCAGUUGUGAAAUACUUCAGCUUAACUGGAGAGGUGCAAUUGAUACUGGAAGACUUGAGUACUGAUGAGGUAGGCGGAAUGGACGGUGUAGCGGUGAAAUGCUUAGAUAUCGUCCAGAACACCGAUAGCGAAGGCAGCUUACUAAGGAGUAACUGACGCUGAGGCACGAAAGUGUGGGGAUCAAACAGG
rnacentral:rRNA from 1 species